AGAGCGAACGCUGGCGGCAGGCCUAACACAUGCAAGUCGAGCGCCCGUAGCAAUACGGGAGCGGCAGACGGGAUAGUAACACGUGGGAACGCGCCCUUCGGUUCGGAAUAACUCAGGGAAACUUGAGCUAAUACCGGAUACGCCCUUACGGGGAAAGAUUUAUUGCCGAAGGAACGGCCCGCGUCCGAUUAGCUAGUUGGUGAGGUAAUGGCUCACCAAGGCACGAUCGGUAGCUGGUCUGAGAGGAUGACCAGCAUCACUGGGACUGAGACACGGCCCAGACUCCUACGGGAGGCAGCAGUGGGGAAUAUUGGACAAUGGGCGCAAGCCUGAUCCAGCCAUGCCGCGUGGAUGAUGAAGGCCUUAGGGUUGUAAAGUCCUUUUAACGGGGAAGAUAAUGACGGUACCCGUAGAAUAAGCCCCGGCUAACUUCGUGCCAGCAGCCGC
rnacentral:rRNA from 1 species